UGGUGGGCACUUUUUGUUUAAAAAUUCAAGCAGAAGAAAUGGUCAGAGAAACUUUUUCCCUUUUUCCCCCACCAUUUCCUUGUGUCUGUCUUUCUGGUUUUAUUAUACAAAUAUACAGAUAGUGAAUCUUAUGGAUUUAUCUUCCAUAUCUUAUUUCUUUCUCUUAUAGAUUGUUACUUUUCCCAUCUCUCUGUCCUUGAGGAAUUCCUCAAGUUGGUCUUUUAAAUCAAUAAUUUCAUUUUCAGCCAUGUUUCGUGUUGCUACUCACUGCUUCUAUGAAUCUUUCUGUUUCAUCCAUUAUGCUUUCAAUUUCAAGGAUUUUUUCCUUUCCUGCUCUCUUUUUCUGAAGUGGUAUGCUAUCACUCCAUAAAAUCAAUCUUACUGAGCAUACCAAUUAGAAUUUAAUCUUUCCUUCCAUUCCUUCAUUGCCAUUUUUAAAUUAGAGGCCAUUUGUUCUAAUUGCUCAGCUUGCUGAGAUGCUGGUUAUCCUUAUUUUUUUUUUUCUGUUCACGUUUAUAAAUGGAGGUGUAGAUUCAUUUAUAUUGGUAGCUGAUGUGGGCGUUUCCAGCAACUGCCUUGUUGUUUAUACUCUAGCUAUCUUUUCCAAGAGCUUAAGGGUCCAUGGGCAGGGUUUAUCCGCAGCCCAGUGACUAGAGGAUGAAGCAAUAGGUGGAUUUUAUUUCAGGGUGCUUGGGCUUGGGCCAGAAGUGAAAAGAGGAGGUUAACCUUUCUCUUCUCUCACUCCAUCAGGGUAAGGUGGGUAGCUCAAAGCUACUAUGGAGGAAAUCCCCAGUUGUCCAAUUGUAGUCAGCAAAAAAGAGAAUGAGUUUCCCUCUCUAGGUGCCCAAGCCUCCAAUCUGGCUGCUGGAAUACAGGAUGCUCCUAUCCUUCAGGCUGCAAACUGCCUGGCUCUUGGUGACUUCCACAGAAAACAGCUGCUGGUUACCUGUAACAAGGAGACAUCACAGAAUGACCAAGUCUCCCAAGGAUUCUUCCUCCCUGAUCAAAGUGAGCUCAGAGGGCUGGGGGCUGCACCAUGCCAGGCUUGGAUUCUGCCCUACAAAGAGACUGGGGGAGUUAGACAAGCCCACUUCCCCCACAGCGACUCAGACAAACAAAGGCAACCUGCAAGUCACUGACUUGGCUGUCUUGUGGAGUAAUUAAUCUCCCUGAAAUUAAUGGCACCUCAAAGGCAGGCAGCUGCAGUGGCUGUGCACAUCUGAACUGCAGGAUUCAUCUGCAUCCGUGAAGACAUUUAACAGGACAGAUGACACCCUGUGGGUGCCCAUGGCCCUCGGGAACCCAUACAACUUGCCCACGAGUUCCAUAAGCACGGAGGAAUGGGGUCACCACCAUGGGGCUCCCUGCCUACCUCCUCCAUUCCCAUUAACAGAAGUAAAAAAGCUGUCCCUCAGAAGAGGAGAAAGCCUGAGGUGGAGAAGCUAAGUGACCUUGAGCAAGUGAGUGAGCCUCAAUCUUCUCCAGCAAAACCAGCACAUUGCUUUGGAGGAUUAGGUCCUUUGUGUGCAGAGCAUCAUUCAGAAAUAAGAAAACAAAGAAAACCCAGCCAUCUUACUUCAAUGCAUCUACCAACUUCUUGGGGGAAGGCUUUGCAGAUAGAGAUUGAUUAUGGAAACCUGACAUUUUAGAGGCUGUUCGUCUGAGACCAGGGGACAUUUGGAUGAAAUUUAGAAAACAAACGAUUAAAUAUGUUUUAUUUUCAUUCAAGUGAUGGGCUAAAUCAGUAGAAUGAUUAGGGUCAGGGAUGGGUGGGAAUCAGGGGAGAGGUUGGCUCAGGGAUAGGGUGAGACAGGGCUGUGUAUUACACACAGCAUGCUGAAAUAACAUGUAUUAUUGCACAAUUUGAA